rnacentral:rRNA from 1 species
GACGAACGCUGGCGGCGUGCUUAACACAUGCAAGUCGAACGGAAAGGCCCUGCUUUUGUGGGGUGCUCGAGUGGCGAACGGGUGAGUAACACGUGAGUAACGUGCCCUUGACUUUGGGAUAACUUCAGGAAACUGGGGCUAAUACCGGAUAGGAGCUCCUGCUGCAUGGUGGGGGUUGGAAAGGUUCGGCGGUUGGGGAUGGACUCGCGGCUUAUCAGCUUGUUGGUGGGGUAGUGGCUUACCAAGGCUUUGACGGGUAGCCGGCCUGAGAGGGUGGCCGGCCACAUUGGGACUGAGAUACGGCCCAGACUCCUACGGGAGGCAGCAGUGGGGAAUAUUGCACAAUGGGCGGACGCCUGAUGCAGCAACGCCGCGUGCGGGAUGACGGCCUUCGGGUUGUAAACCGCUUUCGCCUGUGACGAAGCGUGAGUGACGGUAAUGGGUAAAGAAGCACCGGCUAACUACGUG